rnacentral:rRNA from 1 species
AUUGAACGCUGGCGGCAGGCCUAACACAUGCAAGUCGAACGAGUGGCGGACGGGUUAGUAAUGUCUGGGAAACUGCCUGAUGGAGGGGGUUAACUACUGGACACGGUAGCUAAUACCGCAUACCAUCGGAUGUGCCCCGAUGGGACUUGCUAGUAGGUGGGGUAACGGCUCACCUAGGCGACGAUCCCUAGCUGGUCUGAGAGGAUGACCAGCCACACUGGAACUAAGAAACGUGCCAGACUCCUACGGGAGGCUGCAGUGGGGAAUAUUGGACAAUGGGCGCAAGUCUGAUGCAGCCAUGCCGCGUGUAUGAAGAAGGCCUUCGGGUUGUAAAGUACUUUCAGCGGGGAGGCGUUACCCGCAAAAGAAGCACCAGCUGACACCGUGCCAGCAGCCGCGGUAAUAC